rnacentral:rRNA from 1 species
GGGCGCGUUAUAGUGAGCAGCGAACGAGCGUUUGUCAUAGGCCUGAUCUGAGCGUACUGGUAAACUGCAAUCUUAGUGAGCCUGCUUAAUAGGCCGCCGGGCAGUCAAUGGGCAGUGUCACCACUUCUCAAUGGUUGGGCAAUGUUGUAUACACUCCCUUACUGAGACUCUAACUCAUAGCAACCUUGUCAGUCCAAAUACCUGAUGGGUCUAGAGUUCUGGUGCAGGGGUACGCAUGGAUAUUAGUGGUGUAGGGUGUCACAAUCUCGUAGAGAUCACCUAGCGAAUACCCACCACAGUCGAAGGCGAUCUUACUGGAACAGUACUCGAUCGACUCGAGGGCGCGACACAGUCGUGGGGAGCAAACAGGAUUAGAUACCUCUGGUAGUCCACGCCCUAAACUAUGAAUGUUAGUCGUCGGGUAGGCUUGUCCUUUCGGGGGGAGCCAUUGUAAUAAACAGGGGUGGCUUGCCAACUGGGGCCUGUUUCGUUCGAGUCUUCGGUGUUUCGGUGAGAAUGUUUGGGCUUUCAAUGUCCCGCCUACGAGCGCAACCCUCAGUCACUAGUUACUAACGGUUCGGCCGAGGAUCUCUAGUGAGACUGCCUUGCGCACAGGAGGAGGAAGGUGAGUGAUCGACGUCAAGUCAUCAUGGCCCUUACGGCCAGGGUCGCACACACGUGCUACAAUGGGCAUGUACUAACUGAGACGCAAUACCGCGAGGUGGAGCAAAUCUAUAAAGCAUCUCUCAGUUCGGCAUUGUAGUCUGCAACUCGACUACAUGAAGCUGGAAUCACUAGUAAUCGUAGAUCAGCCAUGCUACGGUGAAUACGUUCCCGGGUCUUGUACUCACCGCCCGUCACACCAUGGGAGUUGAUUUCACCCGAAGCGGGGAAGCUAUAACUGGCUACCCUCCACGGUGGA